UGGGGAAUUUUACGCAAUGGGCGAAAGCCUGACGUAGCGACACCGCGUGAACGAAGAAGCCUUUUGGGGUGUAAAGUUCUGUCGGCUGGAACGAAAAAAAUGACGGUACCAGCAAAGGAAGCAUCGGCUAACUACGUGCCAGCAGCCGCGGUAAGACGUAGGAUGCGAGCGUUGUCCGGAUUUAUUGGGCGUAAAGAGUUCGUAGGCGGUUAUUUAAGUCUGAUGUUAAAUACUGUGGCCUAACCACAGAACCGCAUUGGAUACUGGAUGACUUGAGUGCGGUAGAGGCGAGUGGAAUUCCCAGUGUAGCGGUGAAAUGCGUAGAUAUUGGGAAGAACACCAGUGGCGUAAGCGACUCGCUGGCCCGUAACUGACGCUGAGGAACGAAAGCCAGGGGAGCGAAUGGGAUUAGAUACCCCCGUAGUCC
rnacentral:rRNA from 1 species